UCCCUCCCCUUGUGUCUCUGACAGCUGCAGCCUCCACAGACACCAGCAGCCUCGCCCUCCUCCCCCGUCUUCCCCCCUGCCUGCCCCCCCUCCUCCUCAGCCCUCCUCUCCUGCCCGGGACAUCAAGGAGAACAAGAGGGUCCACUUUGAUCUGGAGAGUCUACACAGCUACCGUCUACACACACACACCGCCUCGUUCUGGGGACGUCCUGGCAUGGUGGGGCGACACGGCCUGGGAGGGUGUCUGGGUGGUUUAUCUCCUCCUCAGGUUAGCCUGCAUGCUAACGGUGGCCCAGCAUCGGCCCUGGCCUCCCCCGGCCUGGCCCUGCCUCCUUUGGGGAACCCAGGCAACCAGGCCUUCCUGUGGGAGGGAGAGCUCCAGGAGGUCCAGGGGAGGAUCGAGACGUUCACAGCCCAGCUGAGAGACGCCGUGGCCAGGAGGGCCGAGAUACAGACCUGCCUGGAGAACCAUAAAAUGAACUUGAGCACAGCUACUGCUGUCAAACUGGAGAAAGACAAGGUUGGCCAGUCACAAAGCCUGGAGAGAGUGAGAACCAACGCAGAGAAAGAUAGAACCAAGGAAGAGAGAGAGGGGCUCAACCAGGAGAAAGGGAGGAGUGGCAGAUCAAACCUCUGUUGCAGCCUGGACAGAAACAGAGACAGAGACAGGACAGGCAGGGACAGUUCCACUAUGAGACAAAAAGCCAGACAGGACACAGACAGGGACAGACUGUUACACCAAUCAGAAACUGAGAGAGACCGAGAUGGCCAAUCAAAAAGCCUGGACAGAAAUGGGAGCAGCCAAUCACAUGCCUCCAACAUUCUGCAGACAGGGAGGAACAGCCAAUCAGAAGCUCUGACCAUCCUACAGAGGAGAGAGAUCCAAUCAAAAACCUCCACCAGCCUGGACAGAGAGACAUCCAACCAAUCAGGUGCUGUCAAUACACUGCAGGGAGAAAGAACUGUCCAAUCACGUAACUCCACCAGCCUGGAGAGAGGAAGAGUCAGGCAAUCAGGUGCAGUGAAAGACCAGGAGAGGGGGAGAACUGUCCAAACACGGACAGGGGCUAGUCUGGACAGACUGAAAGCUAGCCAAUCCAGUGCCGGCACUGGGAAUCUGGUUAGAGAACGUCCCGCCCCCAUGGACACCCAGAAGAGUUUGUGUUAGUCAUUUGAUUGGUUAUUUAUAAGAACACAAAAGACCAAUUAGAGGGCUGGGAAAAAAAUAUAACAGGUCCAA
rnacentral:lncRNA from 1 species